AACCCCAAAAAAUUAAAAUUCCACAAAAAAUAUCCCCACUAGAUGGUAUAAGUCAUCUACUAAAUCCUAAAUCCUAGACUUUUAAUAUUAUUGGUAAGUUUUAUUAUAAAACAAGGAUGUAAUGUAAGUUAAUGUAUACACAAUUUUAGCAAAGCUAGCUGCGUUAUGUAAAGGACACAGAUGCUUUGCUGCAGCUACUGAGGAACAGAGGAAGUGUGGUUGCUAGUCGUCCCUCCGUUGGCCCAUCCAGGCUCUGCCUCUGCAAAUAGCUUACUCUUCGCCGUCUCAAAACGCGCGACAUUCGAGUUUCUUCAAUUAUGGAUAAUGCGUAAGCGAAGAAUAUCUUAGCAACGGCCAGGUGGAGAUUUGGUAUGUUCAGUGGAUGAUCUUCAAAGCUGUUACUCGUCCCAUUGCCUGGCGCUUUUCAGAUGAAUUUUGCGGUACUGAUGAUCUGAAAGCAAAACUGAAUAUGGAUACUACCAUAAAUGUUAUAGGUCACACCAAGUCUUCAUAUCAAAGAAGUAAAAUACCGAAAAUGAUAAGAGACCAAGCUGAAUGUUAGAGAUGUCAAAUGAUUAUUCAGUUCCUGAAAAAUAGUGUGUUUUCUUUGCCUGUAUAUGUGUAUUAAAAUCAUUUUGAAUAAAGAAUACACGAACAACAUUUCAGUUUGUAAAUUCUUCAUGACAUAGACUUGCACUAGGAGGAAAACUGAGGUUUCAAAGUUUUCAGCUUGAUUGCAAGGAU